rnacentral:rRNA from 1 species
UACAGGGGGGGCAAGCGUUGUUCGGAAUUACUGGGCGUAAAGGGUUCGUAGGUGGCCAACUAAGUCAGACGUGAAAUCCCUCAGCUUAACUGGGGAACUGCGUCCGAUACUGGAUGGCUUGAGUGCAGGAGAGGAAUGCGGAAUUCCAGGUGUAGCGGUGAAAUGCGUAGAUAUCUGGAGGAACACCGGUGGCGAAGGCGGCAUUCUGGACUGUAACUGACACUGAGGAACGAAAGCCAGGGGAGCAAACGGG